ACCCGACUGCUAUCGGAGUGAGACUAAGCCAUGCAAGUCGUGCGCCCCGGGCUGGCGGGGCGCGGCGUACGGCUCAGUAGCACGUGGUCAACCUACCCUGCGGACGGCUAUAACCCCGGGAAACUGGGGCUAAUAGCCGAUAGGGGAUGGGUGCUGGAAGGCCCUGUCCCCGAAAGGCCCAACCACCCAUGCCGUGGUUGGGCGCCGCAGGAUGGGACUGCGCCCUAUCAGGUAGACGGUGGGGUAACGGCCCACCGUGCCUGUAACGGGUGCGGGCCCUGGGAGGGGGAGCCCGGAGAUGGGCACUGAGACAAGGGCCCAGGCCCUACGGGGCGCAGCAGGCGCGAAAACUCCGCUAUGCGCGAAAGCGCGACGGGGUCACUCCGAGUGCCACCCGCUGAGGGUGGCUUUUGCCCAGUCCAAAAGGCUGGGCGAAUAAGGGGAGGGCAAGUUUGGUGUCAGCCGCCGCGGUAAUACCAACUCUCCGAGUGGUCGGGACGGUUAUGGGCUUUAAGCGUCCGUAGCCGGCCCGGUGUGUCUCUGGUCAAAUCCGGCGUCUCAAGCGCCGGACCGCCGGAGAUACUACCGGGCUAGGGAGCGGGAGAGGCGGGCGGUAUUCCCUGGGUAGGGGUAAAAUCCUAAGAUCCAGGGAGGACCAUCGGUGGCGAAGGCGGCCCGCUAGAACGCGUCCGACGGUGAGGGACGAAAGCUGGGGGAGCGAUCCGGAUUAGAUACCCGGGUAGUCCCAGCCGUAAACGAUGCAGGCUAGGUGUGUGGACGCCUUAGGGGCGUCCAUGUGCCGAAGGGAAACCGUUAAGCCUGCCGCCUGGGGAGUACGGCCGCAAGGCUGAAACUCUAGGCUGUCUCCAAUGGUUGGAGGCAGUCUAGGGCGGCAUACUUAGAGGAAUUGGCGGGGGAGCACCACAAGGGGUGGAGCCUGCGGUUCAAUUGGAGUCAACGCCCGAAACCUUACCCGGGGAGACAGCAGGAUGAAGGCCGGGCUGAAGACCCUGCCAGACAAGCUGAGAGGUGGUGCAUGGCCGUCGCCGGCUCGUACCGUGAGGCGUCCGGUUAAGUCCGGCAACGAGCGAGACCCGCGCCGCCAAUUGCUCCAGCCCUCUUCGGGGGGCUGAGGAAAUUGGCGGGACUGCCGCCGUAAGGCGGAGGAAGGAGCGGGCUACGGCAGGUCAGUAUGCCCUGAAUCCCCGGGGCCACACGCGGGCUACAAUGGCGCGGACAAUGGGUGGCGAACCCGAAAGGGGGAGCUAAUCCUCAAACCGCGCCUCAGUUGGGAUCGAGGGCUGCAACCCGUCCUCGUGAACCUGGAAUCCCUAGUAACCGCGCGUCAUCAUCGCGCGGUGAAUACGUCCCUGCUCCU
rnacentral:rRNA from 1 species